rnacentral:rRNA from 1 species
GAUGAACGCUGGCGGCGUGCCUAAUACAUGCAAGUCGAGCGAACAGACCCGGAGUUUGCUCCUCUGACGUUAGCGGCGCACGGGUGAGUAACACGUGUAUAACCUACCUAUAAUACUGGGAUAACUUCGGGAAACCGGAUCUAACCCCGUAUAAUAUAUUGCUCCGCAUGGUUCAAUAGUGAAAUUCGGUGUUGCGGUCUCUUAUCGAUGGAUCCGCGCGUCAUGAGCUAGUUGGUAAGUUACCGGCUUACCAAGGCGACGAUGCGUAGCCGAGCGGAGAGGGUGAUCGGCCACCCUGGAACUGAGACACGGUCAAUGCUACUGCGGGAAGCAGCAGUAGGGAAUCUUCCGCAGUGGGCGAAAGCUUGACGGAACGACGGGGCGUGAGUGAUGGAGAUCUUCGGAUCGUAAAACUCUGUUAUUAGGGAAAAACAAAUGUGUAAGUAACUAUGCACGUAUUGACGGUACCUAGUCAGAAAGCCACGGCUAACUACGUG